UUUUUUUUAAUCAGAGGCCGAUCAGCCCCUGCAGUUGGCAUGGAUACAGCUUAGGUCAAGCAGAAACACAACUCUUAGAGUGAGGUCAUAAUGGGCUCUAUGCUUUGGCAAAGUGAGAGGCAGUUAACAGCCUCUGCCUUGAUAUUGUCAGGAUGCUGCUUCAUGAAGAUAAAGGGAUCUUUGAAGGCUUCAUUAACAUUUACCACAAGAGGAAAGGUUUUUGAAAGGUUUCUAAAGGACAUUUUCAUGCUGUUUUUUCUGUACUUCUUGAAAAGAAGUGGCAACCAUUCCAAUAUAUUCCAAUGUAUUGGUGUGCUUCAAAGAUCUAAUGUGGCUUUGUCAUUAACCAAAGUGAGAGCAUCUACUGAUGUCUCAAAGAAGAAUGAUAAAUAUUUUCUAUUGUAUUUCAACUCCAUGAGAAAUGUAAGUAUCACGUAUCAAAACUCAGGUAUCAAAAUAAGCAUGGCCAAUCUUGCACAUACCAUGAAGCUCGGCUGGCACUUUGUCAGGGGUUCUUCAGUGCUUAAAUACUGCUGAAUGUUAUUAUGAGAGCCAUAUAUUCUAUGAAGGAAGAGGAGUUGCUCUGAAAGAAAGAGUGGAGCAAGGGAAGAAUGGGUUCACUGAGAAAUUUGGUAUAUCCUUAAGAGGCUGAAAAAAGCAACUGGCCACAUCUACAAGACCAUCCAUCUCAUCUCCGGCAAAACUAUCCUGUAUGUAAAAUAUGUCAGCAGAAUCUUAUUUUGUUUUGCCUCCCAGGCCUUUUUAUGUCGUUCCUUUUAUAUCCCUUGCAACUGCAUCACUGAUUAAUAUUCCAAUUUAUUUUUAAUUUUACACAGCUAUCUCCCCAUUGCUGACUGCUCACCAUGAGCUCCUGCUAUGCUAACUUUCAAAGGGAACAUCAACAGUGUCUAAAAAGUCAUGGGUGAUGUGAAAAAGGCCAGACUAAGAAUCUAGGUAAGAGAUCUAUAUUAGACAAUUACCGUAUUUUUCCAUGUAUAAGACUAUACUUUUGUCUAAAAUCUUUAGACUAAAAAUUGAGGGCUGUCUUAUAUACAGAAGUAAGCUGAGGAGAG
rnacentral:lncRNA from 1 species